ACUGCAAUUGAUUCUUAGUGCAAAAGGUCGUUUUUUCUUCCCCUCAAUUGUGGGUUAAUUUUCAUCUUAGGAUUUUUGCUCAUAUGUUUGAUUUACAUCACUGAUCUGUUUAGUUUAGACCUUCCGAUUGAUUGCUAAGAUAUAAUAGCUUAAAUUGAACAUGGCCUUGCAGAUUACGAGUUUCAAAGCCGCUAAUUUGCUUUCCUGAACGCGUUAAUUUUAGAAUAUAGUUUAAAAUUUUGCAUUCAUUUAUAUUAAGAUCAUGGAAUAUCAACACGGAAAUAAUUGUGGUUUUUGAAGGUGGUGCUAUGAAUGAUUCG
rnacentral:misc_RNA from 1 species